GAUGAACGCUGGCGGCGUGCCUAAUACAUGCAAGUCGAGCGAAUGGAUUAAGAGCUUGCUCUUAUGAAGUUAGCGGCGGACGGGUGAGUAACACGUGGGUAACCUGCCCAUAAGACUGGGAUAACUCCGGGAAACAGGGGCUAAUACCGGAUAACAUUUUGCACCGAAUGGUGCGAAAUAUAAAUGCGGCUUCGGGUGUCAUGUAUGUAUGGACACGCGUCGCAUUAGCUAGUGUGUGAGGUAACGGCCCACCAAGGCAACGAUGCGUAGCCGACCAGAGAGGGUGCUCGGCCACACUGGGACUGAGACACGGCCAAGAAUCCUGCGGGAGGCAGCAGUAGGGAAUCUUCCGCAAUGGACGAAAGUAUGACGGAGCAACGCCGCGUGAGUGAUGAAGGCUUUCGGGUCGUAAAACUCUGUUGUUAGGGAAGAACAAGUGCUAGUUGAAUAAGCUGGCACCUUGACGGUACCUAACCAGAAAGCCACGGCUAACUACGUGCCAGCAGCCGCGGUAA
rnacentral:rRNA from 1 species